AUUGAACGCUGGCGGCAUGCCUUACACAUGCAAGUCGAACGGUAUCAUCCUUUCGGGGGUGAGAGAGUGGCGAACUGGUGAGUAACACGUAGGUUAUCUACCCUCAAGACGGGGACAACCCAGGGAAACUUGGGCUAAUACCGGAUGUGAGCAACUUUUAGUUGUUUGAAAGGUGGCGUAAGCUGUCGCUUGGGGAUGAGCCUGCGUCCUAUUAGUUAGUUGGUGAGGUAACGGCUCACCUAGGCAAUGAUAGGUAGGCGGCCUUAACGGGUGGUCACCCACACUGGGAUUGAGAUACGGCCCAGACUCCUACGGGAGGCAGCAGUCGAGAAUAGUCUACAAUGGUCGGAAGACUGAUAGUGCGACGCCGCGUGAACGAUGAAUCCCUUCGGGGUGUAAAGUUCUUUUAUAUGUGAGCAGUGCUUCUUAUAUUAACAGUAUGGGGAGAGAGAUAUUAGCAUAUGAAUAAGCAACGGCUAACUCCGUG
rnacentral:rRNA from 1 species